UACGUAGGCAGCAAGCGUUGUUCGGAAUUACUGGGCGUAAAGAGUUCGUAGGCGGUGCGGCAAGUUCGGUGUGAAAUCUCCCGGCUCAACUGGGAGGGUGCGCUAAAUACUGCCGUGCUCGAGUAUAGGAGAGGUAAGCGGAAUUCCUGGUGUAGCGGUGAAAUGCGUAGAUAUCAGGAGGAACACCUGUGGUGUAGACGGCCUACUGGACUAUAACUGACGCUGAGGAACGAAAGCGUGGGUAGCAAACAGG
rnacentral:rRNA from 1 species